AAAACCAGGACCCCCUCCAUGAUGCAGGCUAUGGGCCACAUAAAACUUUGUCCAGGGUUACUACAUAACAUAGCACGACAACUGUAAACUAUGUACUACUGUACUAAAGAACCCCCUGAAUGAUGUAGGCUAUGGGGCCACAUAAGACUUUGUCCAUCCAGGGUUACGAUGAAUGUAAAAUAUAAACUAAAGAACCCCCUGAAUGAUGUAGGCUAUGGGGCCACAUAAGACUUUGUGCAUCCAGGGUUACAUAGCAGGACAACUUUAAACUAAAA